rnacentral:rRNA from 1 species
AGCGAACGCUGGCGGCAGGCCUAACACAUGCAAGUCGAACGAACCUUUCGGGGUUAGUGGCGGACGGGUGAGUAACACGUGGGAACGUGCCUUUAGGUUCGGAAUAACUCAGGGAAACUUGUGCUAAUACCGAAUGUGCCCUUCGGGGGAAAGAUUUAUCGCCUUUAGAGCGGCCCGCGUCUGAUUAGCUAGUUGGUUGAGGUAAUGGCUCACCAAGGCGACGAUCAGUAGCUGGUCUGAGAGGAUGAUCAGCCACAUUGGGACUGAGACACGGCCCAAACUCCUACGGGAGGCAGCAGUGGGGAAUCUUGCGCAAUGGGCGAAAGCCUGACGCAGCCAUGCCGCGUCAAUGAUGAAGGUCUUAGGAUUGUAAAAUUCUUUCACCGGGGACGAUAAUGACGGUACCCGGAGAAGAAGCCCCGGCUAACUUCGUG